GAUGAACGCUGGCGGCGUGCCUAAUACAUGCAAGUCGAGCGAAGCGGGGACGGGUGAGUAACACGUGGAUAACCUCCUAUAAGACUGGGGUAACUUCGGGAAACCGGAGCUAAACCGGAUCCUUAUAGAUGGAUCCUCGCGGCAUUAGCUAGUUGGUAAGGUAACGGCUUACCAAGGCAACGAUGCAUAGCCGACCUGAGAGGGGGAGCGGCCACACUGGAAAUGAGACACGGUCCAGACGCCUACGGGAGGGAGCAGUAGGGAAUCUUCCGCAAUGGGAGAAAGCCUGGCGGAGCCACGCCGCGUGAGGGAUGAAGUUCUUCGGAUCGUAAAACUCUGUUAUUAGGAGAGCGGUACCUAAUCAGAAAGCAACGGCUAACUCCGUGCCAGCAGCCGCGGUAAUUC
rnacentral:rRNA from 1 species